AUAACAUGUACAUAAAGUGCAACCAUAAACUGUCUACUAGAUAAAGGCAGUAAACAUGUACCUAAACGUUUACCCCAUAAACAAUGUGUUUUAUAGUGUGAGACAAAACAUUUGCAUGCAGAUUUGAUCAUUGGUUCAUUUUUUGGCCAUGCACGUACUGUUGAUCAUCAUAGUCUCUCUGUUGCUGACAUAGAUGUGAUUUAUUUCAGAGCAGUAAUUAAUGAUGUCAUUACAUAUUGUUUCAUUGAAAGUCAUAACACAUAGCACGCUUUGACAAUUGCAAAUGCAUAAGCAUCAUCCACAAGGAUUGGUAGCUUUUCGAG
rnacentral:misc_RNA from 1 species